rnacentral:rRNA from 1 species
UGGGGAAUAUUGCACAAUGGGGGAAACCCUGAUGCAGCGACGCCGCGUGAGCGAAGAAGGCUUUCGAGUCGUAAAGCUCUGUCCUAUGAGAAGAUAAUGACGGUAUCAUAGGAGGAAGCCCUGGCUAAAUACGUGCCAGCAGCCGCGGUAAUACGUAUGGGGCGAGCGUUGUCCGGAAUUAUUGGGCGUAAAGGGUACGUAGGCGGUUCGUCGCGUCUGGUGUGAAAGCCCAUCGCUUAACGGUGGGUUUGCGCCGGGUACGGGCGGGCUAGAGUGCAGUAGGGGAGACUGGAAUUCCCGGUGUAACGGUGGAAUGUGUAGAUAUCGGGAAGAACACCAAUGGCGAAGGCAGGUCUCUGGGCUGUUACUGACGCUGAGAAGCGAAAGCGUGGGGAGCGAACAGG